UGUCAAUGUAAAGCAGCAGGGGUACGAUGUGUUCUAUUAUGCGGAUGCAGACAAGAACGUUGCAGAAAUCGUGAAGAUCACUUGGACGGUGCACAUAUGAGGAAUGAUGGUGAAGAAACAGUCCGUGCUGUAACAGCUCCUAGAGAGUCAUUUCCCACAGAGGAAGAAAUCCAGGGAUUCGUGAGAGGGUUGACAAUAGAACAGCUGCAAAGAACGUUGACCAGUUUCUUGCGUCAUGGUAGAGGAUCGUUUGAUCUUGCCAGAAUGUAUUCUGAUAUUGAGGACCAAGGCACUGUGGGAGAUCACCCGUUUGCUA